AGCCCUGUGGUGUAGUGGUUAACAUUUUGGCCUUUGGAGCCAGCGACAGCGGUUCGAAUCCGCUCAGGGCUG
rnacentral:tRNA from 1 species